rnacentral:tRNA from 1 species
GAGGGGAUGUUUAACUAACAAGAACUGCUAAUUCUUGCAUCUGAGCCUAAACCCUCAGUCCCCUUA